GACGAACGCUGGCGGCGUGCUUAACACAUGCAAGUCGAACGGAAAGGCCCUGCUUUUGUGGGGUUCCCGAGUGGCGAACGGGUGAGUAACACGUGAGUAACCUGCCCUUGACUUUGGGAUAACUUCAGGAAACUGGGGCUAAUACCGUAUAGGAUCUCCUGCUGCAUGGUGGGGGUUGGAAAGUUUCGGCUGUUGGGGAUGGACUGGCGGCUUAUCAGCUUGUUGGUGGGGUAGUGGCUUACCAAGGCUUUGACGGGUAGCCGGCCUGAGAGGGGGACCGGCCACAAUGGGACUGAGAUACGGAGCAGACUCCUACGGGAGGCAGCAGUGGGAAGUAUGACACAGUGAGCGGGAGCCUGAUACAGAGGCGCCGCGUGCGGGAUGACGGCCUUCGGGUUGUGAACAGCUUUCGCUUGUGACGAAGCGGGAGUGACGGUAAUGAGUAAAGAAGCACCGGCUAACUACGUG
rnacentral:rRNA from 1 species